rnacentral:ncRNA from 1 species
AGAAACACAGAGAAAGGGUUAAGAAUUAAUCUGACUAUCAGAGAGGAGUUUCCAGAGGCUGAAAGGAAUUCCAGUCAUUAUUAAUUCAUUCUGCCGCCCUGGAGUGGUGAGGUCGAAUCAGCAGUAGGCCUUGACCGUAGCAGCUGCGUUAAAGUUGAGAGAGGUUAAGGAAGUUUUUCCUUAAUAAUUAGGGUGGUACCGCGAGAUAACAACUCUCGUCUCUAAA